GAUUCCUUUCCCUCCCCCCUCAAGUUCCUCGCGGACUUCCCCGGAGCGCGUCCCCACCCCGAGCCUGCCCCGGGUUCGCUGGGAGGAGAGGUGUUAGGGAGCGAAGCGCCUGGGCGGCCGCUUCGCUUCCUGUGCGCCUUCCAGUAGUGCCGGUCUGAGUGACCAUCGCGGGGCGUUCGGCGUCCUCCCGAGAGAAACGCGCCGCAGCCAUGGGGGCUUAUGCUCGCCGCGGGACCGGCCUCCCUUCCGUGGCGCUGCUCUGGGCGCUAACGCUGCUCGCAGUGCCGCGGGUCCGCGGUGAUUGUAGUACUCUGCCAACAUUUCAGAAUGCUCAUCCAGCAGAAAACUAUGAUGCUAAUAAAGCCUUUGUUGAUGGAACCACCAUAACUUACAGAUGUGAUACUGGUUAUGUUAAAAUACCUGGGAAGUCAGACUCAGUUACUUGCAAGGGUGUGGAAUGGUCAGAAAUCCCACAGUUCUGUGAUCGGAGCUGUGAUGCCCCAAAGUUGUUCCUUACUAUGCAGCUGGAUGCCACAUUCAUAAAUAAAAAUAAUUUUCCUAUUAACAGCUCUGUGACUUUUGUAUGUCGGCCAGGAUAUACACUCAGUAAAUUUGGAAAACUCAUCAGUACCUGUCAGCAAAAUGGAAGUUGGUCACCUGUCUCAGGGUCUUGUAAAAAAAAAUCAUGCCCAAAUCCAGAAUCAUUAGAUAAUGGUCGAGUUGAAAUACUAACUGAUAUCCUGUUUGGUUCUGAAAUUGAAUAUUCUUGUGAAGAAGGUUACACUUUAAUAGGUGAUAAUAUAAGAUUGUGUGAGAUUGCUGGAAACAAAGUUGUAUGGAGUGGUGACGUUCCAUUUUGCAAAGUUAAUACUUGCGUACCACCUCCAGAUAUCCAAAAUGGGGAACACAGUGGUGCUGGCAAGGAUUUGUUCAGCUAUGGUGAGACAGUGACUUAUCGUUGUGACUCAAGUGUUCGAGAUCGAUUUUCACUUAUUGGAAAUAACACCAUUUUUUGUGAUAAAGAUGGACAAUGGAAUACGGUGCCCCCUCAGUGUAAAGAAGUCAGAUGUGAAACUCCACAAGUUGACAAUGCAGUCCCAAUAUCCGGAUUUGGGCGCUUUUAUACUUAUAAGGACACAAUUAUUUUUGAAUGUGAAAAAGGUUAUAUCUUACAGAGUAACAACAAAAUUACCUGUGAAGCUGAUAAUAAUUGGAGCCCUGCACUUCCAGUUUGUUAUAAAGUUAAUACUUGCGUACCACCUCCAGAUAUCCAAAAUGGGGAGCACAGUGGUGCUGGCAAGGAUUUGUUCAGCUAUGGUGAGACAGUGACUUAUCGUUGUGACUCAAGUGUUCGAGAUCGAUUUUCACUUAUUGGAAAUAACACCAUUUUUUGUGAUAAAGAUGGACAAUGGAAUACGGUGCCCCCUCAGUGUAAAGAAGUCAGAUGUGAAACUCCACAAGUUGACAAUGCAGUUCCAGUAUCCGGAUUUGUACGCUCUUAUACUUAUAGGGACACAAUUAUUUUUGAAUGUGAAAAAGGUUAUUUCUUACAGAGUAACAACAAAAUUACCUGUGAAGCUGAUAAUAAUUGGAGCCCUGCACUUCCAGUUUGUUAUAAAGAGUCUUCAGUUCCUCCCAAGAAAGAAUCACAAGGACUCGAUCCUGGCAUCAUUAUCCUGAUAGUUAUUAUCGUAGGUAAGUCAUACACAAUCUUAAUUGUUUUAAAGGGAAGCCUGCAUGGUUUAAUCUGAAAAAGCAUAAUUACAGGUUUCAUUUUUACUGUUCACAAUUGUCAUUUGGUCUCCCAAACAUUUUUGAUUACUUUUACAUAUCAGUGAAAAGUGAUUAUUGCAUUCCCCAACAUAUGUAUAUUUAUUUAUAUUUAAGUAUAUGUAUUGUUUUGUUAAUGUAAGCCACACACAAAGUUGAAAUUGACAAUGACAUUUUAAAAUGAAAUAACAUUUUAAUAGUUUAUUUGUUUUUAUUUUUUUAAAUAGCUUUUUAUUUACAAGUUAAAUAUAUGGGUAAUUUUACAGCACUGAAAUUGCCAAACCUUUUAUUCCAAUUUUUCUCCUCCUUCCUCCUACCCCCUCCCCUAGAUGGCAGGAUGACCCGUAGAUGUUAAAUAUGUUAAAGUAUAAAUUAGAUAGACAAUAAGUAUACAUGACCAAACUGUUAUUUUGCUGUACAAAAAGAAUCGGAUUCUGAAAUAUUGUACAAUUAGUCUGUGAAGGAGAUCCAAAAUGCAGGCAGGCAAAAAUAUAGGGAUUGGGAAUUCAGUGUAGUGGUUCUUAGUCAUCUCCCAGAGUUCUUUCGCUGGGUGUAGCUGGUUCAGCUCAUUACUGCUCUAUUGGAACUGAUUUGGUUCAUCUCAUUGCUGAAGAUGGCCAGGUCCAUCAGAAUUGAUCAUCAUAUAGUUUAAUAGUUUAUUUUAAAAGUCAUUAAUGAUAAAAAAAAAGUGUUAACUCUAAAAUUAUCAUCAUUUUUAGUGAUGUUAUGAAUGCAGUCAAGGGCCUGAGAUCUCUCCCCACAAAAAAACAAAAUCUCCAGAGCGAGUGAGUGGUGUUUAUUACAUUCCUGCAGGAAGAGAGUUGUCCUUAUAGUGGAAGAGUCUGCCACUACAGAAGGAAGAGAGAGGGUGCUUAUAUUAACCAAAACCCUUCCCAUGUGCCUCCCUGUUUCCUCCUAGAUGUUCCUAAUUGGUCAUUAUUCUGUGGAGCAGCAGUGUUUCCCUCUCAGUUUUUUUCAUGUCCUCCUGGAUAUGUUCCCCUUCCCUUGCCAUAUGUCCCAUGUUCAAAGGUAGUGGAAAACUCUCAGAGAGUAACUAGCUACAGAGAGAGUAGCUAACAUGCAGGUGCCUAUUAAGUAUGGGUAGUACAGACUAAACUCUCUCUUGGUUACCCCUCACUGGUUUGAGAUGGAUCUCGGGGUGUGUGGUAAGACUGAAGUUGAAAAGAACAUGGGGCCUCAUCUUGAUGGUUGGAUACACCUUCUAAGCAGCUUUGCUGGUCACAAUUGUACUCUCAGAAUAUCAGUUUUUUGUGGAAAAGAAAUGGUUCUUUCACUCUGCCCUGGGGUCCCUUAUGACUGUGAGAACAGCAGUGUUAAUGAUGUAAAUGUACGGCUCUGAGUGAGUUCAGUUUGUUUUAGUCUUUGGUUUUAGCUGAGAAAGAUACUCCACAAAAGUCUGCCAAGUUGUCCAGUUACUAGUCAGCACAAGGCCAGGCCCUUGGAAAUAGAAGCAAAAAAGAAAGACUGCUUUGCCUCAAGUCGUUACAUUCUAGUAGGGGAAGCUAUUACGGAAAAGGAAGCUGACAAGGGGAAGGCAGGGACAUAGGGAGAAAGUCGAUAGGGGUGGAAUGAAGGAGUGCCUCUGGCAGGCCUGGGUAAAGAGGUGAAACUGAGCAAUUAGAGGAAAGUGCCAAAGGCUGCUGAAGGCUGAAUGGUCUUCUAAUAGGAGAAGACAAAAAGGCAGCCUAGAGCCUCUGACACAGAGGUGCAAAUGGAAGAAGUGGGGAGUGACUGACUUGCUUACUGAAUUAUGUGGUUUUAUCCACCAAUGAUUCAAAGGGUUUUUAUUGACUUUGAGUUGGUAACUUUAUAUCUUCCUUGAUAUCAGUUAUUCUUGCAAACUAAUUGAAAAGGUUUGUGUUUUAUUUUGAAAAGUUUCAAACAGUAUAGAAGGUUCUCUUUCCAGUCAUGUCCACAUAGGAGAAUUUUUGUGAUACAUAUUGUUUUAAGGAGACAGAAGCUUAGAUUUAUGCUUUUAAAAGUUGUCUUGGCCAAGAUGGCAGGGAGUAGACAGGAUAUUGCCAGAGCUCUCCCUGGCUUCUCUCAACAUCAACAUUAGACCAAGCCUUUGAACGGAUUUUAGAGUGACAGAACCCAUAAAUAUUUGGAGUGUAAUAAUUUUCCUGCUUAAGAUAUCUUGGAAGAACUUCAGGAAGGGUCUGUCUCAAUUGGGCUGGGGGGAAUGCAGCUUUGCUUGGGGGAAGUACAACACAGGGUACCUAGCAGGAGGCUCUUAGCCAAAAUAUAGCAGCAUUGGCUAUUUUCUGGUUCAGGAUGCCAGUAGAUCAGCAAACCAGCUAUGAAAUCUCCAACACAACUACAGAAGGCAAAGGGAGAUAGGAAAAAAAUGGGAAAAGAAAUGAGAGCUCUAUAGGAGAGUUAUGAAAGUAUGGGGAGAAAAGCCAACAUCUUGGAAAAGGAAGUGCAGAAAUUGGCUUAAGCAAACAGCUUCUUAAAAAAUAAAUUUGGCAAAAUGGGGGGGGGGGGGGGAAUACACUGAAGAAAACAACUUCUUAAAAAUACAUUUGGUGAAAUGGAAAAAAUACACGCGCACACACACACAUACACAUUCUCUGAAGAAAACAAUUUAUUGAAAAAUAAAUUUGGCAAAAUAGAAAAAUAAAACAGCUUCUUAAAAAAUGGAAUUAGCAAAAUGAAAAAAAAAUUCAUUGUAUAAAACAACUCUUUUAAAAGUACACUUGGCCAAAUGCAAAAGGAAGUUAAAAAUAGCUAACAGAAAAAAAUAAUUCACUAAAAACUACAAUUGAACGAAUGGAAUUAAAUGACUCAGUGAGACAUAAAUCAAAAAUUUAAAAAAUGAAAAAAUAGAAGAAAAUGUAAACCUCUUUGGAAAAACAAUUGACCUGGAAAAUGGAUCCAGGAGAUACAAUCUAAGAAUUAUUGAUCUACCUGAAAACCAUGAUGAAAAAAGAGCCUGAAUAAUAUCUUUCAAGAAAUCAUCAAGGAAAACUAUCCUGAUAAUCUUAGAACCAGAAGGUGAAAUAGUCAUUGAAAGACUCUACCAAUCACCCCAUGAACGAAACCCCAAAAUGAAAAGUUCAAGGAAUAUUAUAGCUAAAUUCCAGAAUUAUUUAAUCAAGGAGAAAAUGCUGAAAGCAGCCAGGAAAAAAAAAAGGAUUGGAGGGCCUGAAAUAUGAUAUUCCAGAAGGCAAAGGAGCCUGAGCAACCAAGAAUUGACUAUUCAGCAAAACUAAGCAUUAUUUUUCAGGUAAAAAAAUGACCAUUCAAUAAAUAGGAAAUUUUAAGUCAUUUCUGAUGAAAAGACCAAGACUGAACAGAAAAUUUGAUAUCCAAAUAUGACUCAAGAAAAGUAUAAAAAGGUAAAUGGAAGAAAAAAAAAGUGCUGGCUUAAAAUACUAUUUUAAAAAUAAGUUUAAAAAAAUUGUGAUGGCUUCAUACUAUUAUCAACUAAUAUCCAGAAAAAGGUCAAGUAUGCACUUAGGAUGAAAUGCAACAAUAACAAUAGAAUAAUAAAUAGCAUUUCAAAUAAUUUUAAUCUGAAUUUGUUUUUAGCUUGUCCAUAUGGUUAAUGAAAUUUCUAGCAAAGAUAGAAGGGUCACCCUUUUAUGUUGUUUACACGUUUGCUCACGUUAUUAUCUUCGAUCUACACUUUCUGUGCAGAAAUCUUUUUUUAAAAAUACUUGCCCAUUUUGUGAAGUAUUUAAAGCUAGAUAAUGUAUUCAUAAAUCAACUUGAUUGGGUAUAAUCUCAAGUAUAUGCAUCACAGUGAAAGAACAAGAAAAGACACAUGCCACUGAGUGGUGGAAUAUGCAUAGCUUUAACAUACAUAUCUCCUGAGGAUACAGAUGUCAAUCCAUUAAUCUCUUUAUUUUUUGAGAAUAAUAACUCUGAAAAGGAAUUCUAAUAAUUUUCUUCAUGUGCCUUGAAUGGAUCAUAUUGCAUACACUCACUACACUUUGGAGACCACCCAUCUUGAGUGAAAUAAACAAAUCUUUGACACAGAAAUAUACAAUAUUAUUUUAUCACAGUGAUCUUGAAGGAUUCUUUGUACUUAUAACCAUUUAGCCUUUAAAAAAAGAAAUUUAUACACACACACUCCCAACAUUGAAUUGAACGAAUUUCCCUUCAGUAUUCUCUGGUAGCCUUAUAAAUUUUCUAGAAAUCUGUUUUUACUGAUAUUUAGAAUGUCCAAUAGGCCAAGAGGAAUUUAUACACUGAGGAAAAUUGGUUGAAUAAUAUAUUAUCUAGUAGUUGCUGUGAAUUUUGUACUGUGUAUGUGUGUCAUGUUCAUAAUGCCCAAGUCUAUCAUUUUUAAGAAGCUUGCUAUUUUUUUUUAACAUUUCACAAUGUCUGAAUUUUUUUUUAAUAGUUAUUGCACUUGUGAUCAUCAUUGUUAUCAUUUAUCGACAGUAGAACAGGAAAAAAGGCACAUACAUAACUGAUGAAAUCCACAAAGAAGAAACCAUUUUAAAUUCUCUUACUCCUCCUAAAGAAGACACCUUAAUGAAAGAAAGGUUUACUUAAAUCAUUAAAAGGAAAAAUGCAACAAUUAGUGUUGACUACAAAACUUCCUCGAAACAAGAAAAUCUUUCUGAGGAAAGCAGGUGUAUGGUUUCAGAAAAUUAAUGUAACCACCAGUCUGGCCUUUAUUUUAGUUGAAAUGUUAAAGCACUUUUAAAAUUACUUUCAAACAGCUCCUUUGCCACUUAAAUGCACUUGUUAAAUUGGAACUUGGAUGUUUAAAGAUAAGGCUUAGCAUCUUUACACAGACCCUUAUAACCAUUCUUUGAUGUGUUGGGAAACCAGGGGAUAUGGUGCUUAAAAUGGAAAUUAAAACUGAUUAAUACACACACAUUUGCCCAGGUUAUCACAGCAUGUUGUAUAGUAUCAGGAGGACAAUGGCAAGAUAAUACUUAAAGAAAAAAAAGUUUGCAAAUGCAAAUAAUUAGUUUUGAAAUCUGCAAUAUUUUCAUUGGAUAAUUUUAAAAAAUUAAGUGACUUUGAAAAGAAGGGAAGGUUGAUAACCAUCAGCUUGCUAGAUAAGUAAGUUUUAUAAAAAAUGUUUUUGACGUUAUUUUAUCCUAUUUAUGACUUCUUUUGUUAUCGAUGUACAACUUAGGACAAACUUAAGAAAUUAGCUUGUGCACAUAUCUGUGAAGUUGCUGUUUAUUUUCACCAAUUAAGGACAAAUAGAUUUAAAUUAAACAAGAUAUUCCCCAAAAAAACUAUUUCUGUGAAAGUAAAGAGAUAUGUCUCCAGCUAAGAAUUUCACUACUAAGUAUACAAUGAAAACUUGAAGCCUUGAGAAUGGGGAAAAUGUACUAAGAUUUAGAGCUAGCUUAAUUCAGAUAGGGCAGGUGUUUUGUGGUAUGAAUGUACCAUCUUUAAAGCAUAUUAAAAUAAAGCUUGAGAGGCAGCAUAGAAUGGGGUGCAGCAUGACACACAUGGGCAGAGCACUUAGUGACUCUAGGCCAGUGGUAUUGAGCUUAAAUAGAAACUUAGGAAAUAACAAAUUAAUAUUAUCUGUGUUGAAUUACAUUUUAUUUUACUCAUUUAAUCUGGUUUGGGCAACACAAAGGAAAUUUUUAAGAUAGCUUUCAGGCCUGAGUGCAAUAUCUCUACCCUAGGCUGUUCUCUCUAAAAUUCAGUCUCUAAGUAAAGUGUUGCCCCACCCCCCCACACACGUAUGUAUGUAUCAAUAAGAUGAAAGGUUUCUUUAUCAGGAGUUCCACAAUCUUGAGACACUUGACCCUUCCCUGCACAAAUGUAACUAGUUUUUACCAUCAGGAAAUAUGUUCAUGUGAUAAUUUAAAGCCUUAAAAUAUAUUUUGCAGGGGCAUACUCUCAUGUGUGAUGCCAUUUUGCCCUUCAUGCAAAGAGAUUUUUUUAAGACUUCAGCUGAGCCAAAAACAAAACAAAACUUUAAAAUGUAGUUUGUAUAUUUUCUAAGAAUAUCUGCAAAGGGAGGCUAUGAACUUCAGAAAAUUAUCAUUAUCACCUGCCUUUUCCUAAUUAGAAAGCCCAAUGUGCAGUUUACUCUUUCUAAUUGAGUAUUUGGGUAUUGUCGUUCGGUCAGGAAAAAAGCAAAGACUUUGGCAAUGUAUGUAUAUGGGUGUGUUUGUAUAUACUGAAGUGUACCCACAAUUGAGAUUCGUGAUUUGUAAAAAAUUUUGUUGUAUUUAAUUGUUUCCCAUUUGUAUGUAUGGGUGUGUGUAGGUGUACACACAUGUAGGCAUAAACCCAACAAGUUCGACAAACUCCCGUGUCAUAAUUCUUAUGUCUUUUAGAUGAAUUUCAUCUGCCACAAUUACUGACCUUUUCCCCCCCUCUCUUUGGAUUUCAAAGUAGUAAAUAAAAUCACCUCCCAAAUUACAUAAAACAUAAGUUUUUCACCACUGAUUUAUUAGCUUUGAGCCCCCUGCCCCAAGGAGAGGAGUAGGAUAGUAAACUGGAGAAUACCUCUUUUCUUGUAAACUUUUUCUUCUUUGUCUCAGACCCCAAACUUAAAGGCUUACAGAAACAUCAGUUGCUGCCUAUAUAAUUUAUUAGUAGGAACAGAUAAUCUAAUAGAUAAUAUUAGAAUUCUCACAGCCAGAGGCUUUCUGUUCUGAAACCACAGAGCAGAGAAAAUGCUCAUUCAGAGCUCCAAAACACUAGAAUGGCAGUUGGCUUCAGCUCUCCCAAAUUUGGGUAACAAACUACUCAGAGUGACAUUUCACUCCAUUCUCUGAAAACUAUAGAACAGUUGUGUAGACAAGGGAAUCAGAGUGAAGUCAGUUUCUUCAAAGUUGUCUUUCUGGUCUCCCAAGUCUUUCGCAGCUGCAUUCUUUCAUGACAGUUGACUCUCCCAAGUUUCUUCAGAAACGCAUUUUAGCUCUUGGUACUUCUCAAAGACUCGCAUUAAUUUGACUCAAGACUCAUUUUGUUAUAUGUUAUCAUAUUCAAAGUUUUCUGUAAGAGGGGCCAUGGAAGUUAUCCACAUAUGUUACAAAUAUAUAAACAUACAUACUUUCAAAGAAAUUACUUGGGGAGGAAUGUCAGAUUCAGUAUACCUUACACCAGUUUGGACCAGGGCAAAGUAGGGAGGAGUUCCCCUUGGAAUUGCAGAUUUUCUUGUAUUACAAAUAUAUAAUAAAGUUCUAUUUUGAAGGACAAUUAGUCCAGCUAGGCUAGGAAUUAGUGUUAUGAUCAAUAAUCAUAACUUAUUUGUAUGUAAAGGAAUGCUUCAGCAUUUCUUGUAACUUUGUGUUAUUUAUGAAUAUGAGUUCUGAAUUUGUGAUAUAAGCUGUGCUUUUUCAUAUUCACAUUUUUAGGAAUGACUUAUUAAAGUGAAGGGGAAAGCUCUAUUUAAAACUGGGUAGGUGAAUAUUUUGAAACAGACCUCUUCAAAAUAAACCAUUUGUUAUGGAGGUUUCUUUAAACCUCAUUUUUUAUUGUAUAUUUUCUUAUGUACCACUUAAUUAAAUUUCGAUUAUGUGUGUAAUAUAUUUAUACCAGUUAUACUUACUGAAUAUCUUUCAAACUGUAACUUAGAAUUAAAUGUCAUUUUCCUACACAUACUCUGAAAUACCUAACAAAAUUAGCUAUAUAUGAAUACUGACUAUUCAUCAACAGCUUGUGCCUUCUCUUUUAAGAAUUUGUGGGAAAAAGGUCUCCCUAACUUGAAUAAAAAUUACAAAUGAUGUCCUUGAAAAGGGUGGUAAGAAGGGAAACCAGAAUGUGUGACUCUAAAGCUGAAUAAAAAUAAAAUUCUGUCUUUAUGAAUACACUAAUUGCUGAAUUGGCAGGGAUCUUGGUGAAAUUUCUCCAGAAUUGGGGCAUGUAGCAUUGGUGCUGACAAGCCAGGCUUAACCAUGACUUAUGUUUUAUUAAAACUCAAUGAUAAGCUAUAUGCAGAUCUCAAAUGACAAAUUUAAGUAAAGCAUGAAUGCUAUUCCCAAUUUUGAUACACACUCACUACUAUUCCAAAUUCUUAUAGUUUCUUUGUAUUCCUUUGAUUCUUUUUAAAAAGACUACUGCUGAUCUCUUUACAAUGUGUAGUAGGCUAAUGUGUAGUGAGACUAAUAUUUUUUAGACAAGUCUUUUAAGAUUUAUGUCCAUAAGCUUUUUAAAAUUUUAAU